rnacentral:rRNA from 1 species
CAGUCGCCGCGGGAAAACCGGCAGCCCGAGUGAUGGCCGCUAUUAUUGGGCCUAAAGCGUCCGUAGCCGGCCAGACAAGUCCGUUGGGAAAUCCACGCGCUCAACGCGUGGACGUCCGGCGGAAACUGUCUGGCUUGGGGCCGGAAGAUCUGAGGGGUACGUCCGGGGUAGGAGUGAAAUCCCGUAAUCCUGGACGGACCGCCGGUGGCGAAAGCGCCUCAGAAAGACGGACCCGACGGUGAGGGACGAAAGCUAGGGUCUCGAGCCGGAUUAGAGACCCCUGUAGUCCCUGUCUCUUAUA